UUUUUUUAAAGAGUGUGUAUGCUCUUAGAGGCAGGGCACCGACGACCAAGUCAACGAGCGCUCGAGCUGAAAAAGAACCAAUCCGCGGCGGGUGUUCUCGCUUUGGGAGCAGCCGGGCCUGGGCGCAAGGGGAGAGAAGGAAGCCGGCUGGGCGUCGAAGCGGCGGUGCAAGGUGGUCGCAGGCGGCGGAGCUGAAGGAACCGGCCGCGCUGGGCGUCGGAGCAGCGCCCCGGGAUGGAUGAGGAAACCGGCCGCACGGGGCGUCACAGCAGGGGGGAGCGGAGGGAGCCGGCCUCCCAGUUGACGGUGGUCAGCGCCCUCGCAUGCAGAGGUGGGGCGGCCGGCGACCUUUCACGCUGCAAGACGAGCUUUGAACGUUGCAAGAACAGGAACAUGGCAGGAGCUGGAUCUCAAAUUUGGAAGGAACUCGGAUCUGAUGAAGACCGUCGCGCGGCCACUGUAAAAUUCAGAUGUCCAUGCCGCCGCCGAGCGCCGCUGCAGUACAGGGAUUUUGAGGUCGUGGGGAGGAGCCGCUGGAGGAGGGCGACGAAGAUGGCUCCUUCAAGUCUUCAACCGGACCUUGCUGCGGUGGGCCAUGGCGUUGCGCGUCUAGCGGCGCCGCCUCUGUCCAUACCACCCGCCUCUCUCCAUACAACCUAAACACCGACGAGACGUCUACUUGCCUAUACCCAUAGGUGCGUGGACGUCUACGUGUGGCAUCGUAUUGUUCACAGUCUAGUUCUCGUUCAAUGAUUUUUUUUAAUAAA